UACGUAGGGGGCAAGCGUUGUCCGGAAUCAUUGGGCGUAAAGAGCGCGUAGGCGGCCCUGUAAGUCCGCUGUGAAAGUCAAGGGCUCAACCCUUGAAUGCCGGUGGAUACUGCAGGGCUGGAGUCCGGAAGAGGCGAGUGGAAUUCCGUGGUGUAGCGGUGAAAUGCGCAGAUAUCAGGAGGAACACCGAUGGCGAAGGCAGCUCGCUGGGACGGUACUGACGCUGAGGCGCGAAAGCGUGGGGAGCAAACAGG
rnacentral:rRNA from 1 species